rnacentral:lncRNA from 1 species
UCUCUUUUAUUGAAACUCUUGUUUAUUUUUAUGGUUUCCUUAUGUUUUAAUUGAUUAAUUGUUGGGUUCUCAUCUGUGCUUAAGGUCUUUAUCGUUUAACUCAUUCGAUAACUGAUGCUUGUCUUUAUUGAUACGGGAACAUACAGUAAUGUCAUGAACUGGUGAGUAAUUCCUUGAUUUUGCAAUACAACCUAGAGAUAGGGGUAGGACGAUCAAUUGCUUUUAACUUCUGUUCUAUAAGGUUGUAUAAUUGCUAGGGGAGGCUAGGGAUAGCAAGCCAGUAAUUAGUAUUAGGCUCUUUUCACCGAGGGAUGGGGUUAAGGGUAGGCUAAGAAAGUUGCAUGACAAUUAAUUAAUCAAACUAAUAAUUCAAGAGGAGUAAAUAAGAGAGUGUAGAUAAGAUGAAUUUGUAAACCCCCAACAACUUCAUUCAUCCAUUGUUUUCCUUUUGUCAAUUGAAUCAAUCUCUUUUGCAUGUUAAUAUUUUUGUUCUCAAAUCAAAUUAAUUAUUUUUAUUUUCAAGUUUUAUUAUUUUAAUUCACGUGAACGAGAAAACAUUUCGAGUCUCUUGGGAAGAACGAUAUUGGGUUUUACAAUUAUAUUACUUGAACGAUUUGGUACGCUUACCAAUCCGUCAACAGAUGGGUAAGAACUUUAUGUUGAUGUGUUCAAUGGUGCGUCAGUGGCACGCCAGGGUUAAGCUCGUGAGAGAUGAAGGAUUUUAGUGUAGAGAAGUCCCGGGUUUGUGUGGUGGUGUUUGUUUGUUGGAGUUAGAAAGAGAGAGAUGAAGGGAGUGAUAGUUUGGGAGAGCUUCGGUUUCUUCCUCCUGGUGGAUAGGACAGGGUUUGUUGUUGGGUUGCUGGAGGGAGGAGUGUGGUCGUAGUGUUACUCUACAUAUUAUUUACAUGAAUGGUGAGUAAGGGUAGUUAAGUGAGUAAUUUGUUUAGUUUCAGAAGAUAGGAAGUUGGGCACUUUAGUUUGGUUUAUGGUUAAGAGCAGAAGAAGGUUGUUAGGAUAAUUUUGUUUUAGAAAACUUGAAGGAGGAAGAAACUAGAUAUAUGUAUUGGGUUACGGUGUCGUAGUGUAUGAAUGGAGGAAAUUUAAUUUUCAUUAGGAACUAUAUGAGGUUGGGAAGAUGAUCUAGGAGUAAAAGAAAAGGGUAUGUGUACUUAAGGAUUGCAGUAGGGAUGAGAGUGAUGGGUUCUCUUAUGUGAAAGUGAAAAAGAACGGUGUCUAAUCUGUGAGGUUGGGUUUCAAUGUUGACAUGCAAAAGAAGAAAUAAAAUGGAGUAGUGUAAGUGAGAAGAUAGGUGUUCCUGGAGUUGGAAAGCUACAAGUAUUAGGAGUUGCUUCUUAAGUUAAAGUUUUAGAACUGAAGGGGGUAUACUAGUGAAAAAGAUAUAAGGGAAGCCUCUGGUUUGUGGUGAGAGGAUGUGUAAAUAAAAUGAGAGUAGAGUGGGUUGCAUGGAUAGGUUACAUGCAAAGAAAAGGGGAUGCAUGGGUUGAAUGAAGAAAGGAAUAUGUGAUGUGGUUAUAAUGAACGAAGAUGGAUUAAAGUUUAACAGGAAAGGGGAUGAAGGUUUGGUGAGGAAGAAGUUAUGAGAAGAUAAUAUUUAGUUUGGGGUUUUGACUUGAGAUGUGGAAGUCAUUUGGUAGUGGGACUGCUGCAUGGAAUUAGGAAUGAAAGAAAUAAUACUGUGAAAGAGUAUAUUUUGGGUCUCAUUCAUUCUUUGCCAUCUGGUACGUGAGUGUGAAAGAGUAAGAGUUUGGAAAGUUUAUUUUAAUAGGGUAAAAGGAGGGAAGAAAUGGGAAGUUGAAAGAAAAAAAGAGUUUCGUAAGGGGUUGUUUACUAUACGGGAAUAGCGUUGGUGUUAGGAAAUUGAUGAGACAGUAUUAUAAUAUAUUAUAUUUAUACAAUAUGUAGAUAUAUGUAUGUAAGAAAGUAUAAUAUAUAUUAUAUUAAUAUAAGG